UACAGAGGUCUCAAGCGUUGUUCGGAUUCAUUGGGCGUAAAGGGCGCGUAGGCGGCGGGGUCAGUCGGGUGUGAAAUCUUGGGGCUUAACCCCGAAACGGCACUCGAAACUGCCCGGCUGGAGGGCCGGAGAGGAGAUCGGAAUUCACGGUGUAGCAGUGAAAUGCGUAGAGAUCGUGAGGAAGACCCGUGGCGAAGGCGGAUCUCUGGACGGCUAACUGACACUCAGGGACGAAAGCUAGGGGAGCGAAUGGG
rnacentral:rRNA from 1 species